UCCAGUCACCCAAGCCAGGACUGGCUGCCCCCAGGCCAGACCAAAGCGCUACCAGUGGUCAAGUCCAGUCCAAGGCAGAGGCACUGAAUGGUGCUCAUCCGGGAUCCGUGACCCUGGCUCACGCGUGGGCAAGCGUUCCCGGCACUUGGCAGCAGCGCGCCUAAGAGGUCGCAGUGGCACCACCGGCCGCGCGCGCGCACUGCCCUCCAGCCCACAGCGCCCGCCCGUGGGUCGCGUUCGCUCGGGGCGCGCUCCCGCCUCCCCUGGUUUUCGCUUUCGCUUUGCAGCUUCUCUUCAGAGAAACAAAGCGGCCGCGACGACUGGAGAUGCAGCCGCGGUGCGGGGAGCGGAGCCCAGACCCCUGGACCCCGGGCCCCCGCAGGCAAGGUGGCAGCAUUACCCUGGGCCUCCUGGUGAUGUCGGGAGACCGGACCGCUAAGAAAGAAGAAAAUGGACUCCCUCCUCCCGGAGACUUGCCAUGAGUGCCAGAGUAUGCAGCCGCUCAGACCAAAGCGUCACAGAGGGAGGGAGAGAGAGAGAGAGUGUGUGUGUUCAGAGGCCAUACUGAACCUAAAGGAAGAAUCUCCUCAUCCUGUCCCCCAGCUGUCCCCCAGUGCUGCCUCCUCCCUUGGAGCCACCCAGAACUGGAUCUAUUAAUCUGGAUGGCAUCGAUCUCUUGAGAGAUUUCUCCCACUGAUUCUGCUCUACCCAUAUCCUGGGCCGUGCUUCUCUGAAAAUGCUCCUUUCUUUGCUGUGCCUAAAACUGUGCUGCAGAGUGGACCAGUAACACACGGGAAGGGACGGAAAGAGGUGAGCUUACUCAGGUCCCUCCAGCCCCUGCCUCGGAGCACCUGCUUCUGGGACACGAUGCUGAGCCUCGCACUAUCCCUGACAAGAUCCGCUUCUCCAGCCUGUCAGGAAACAGGACCUCCCUUCUCCAGCGGCAGGCCAGCCUCUGCCUCCGAAAUGAGUUGCGGGGUCUCUGACCCCUUUUGCAGCUACUUCCUCUGGGCCUCCUCUCCUGAGGCCUUCUUCUGCACUUGAGUGAGUCAAAUGCCAUGCUCCUCCACCAUGGGCCUCUGGGGGGGCUGGGAGUAGUACCCCAAGGUCACAGUUGAGCCCAACUGUAGCCCCCUUCCUCGGCUUGGUCACCUGGUCUUGGAUUCAAGACAUCUCUAACGUCGUCAUCAGCAAAGAAAAGGUAAAACAAGACACCACAGCCAACGAGAGAGCUGACCUGUAUGCCCACCCAGUAGAGACAGAGCUGCUGUUUGUCUUCUCCAGCAGCCACAGACACGUGGCCCUUCUCUUUUGACUGGGAGGCCUCCAGAGAAGGCCUUAUUUAACCUUGCAGUCAGGAGCUUUACAGCCCAGCCCUGAGAGGAUUAUCUUUUUAUUGCAACUUUGAUUAAUGAUUGAUCAAAGCCUGAUACUAGAAGCACCGAAGAACAAAUUUGCCCUAGAGAUUAGGGGUGCUUACAUCUGCCAGGCUGCCUGAGGACCUGUCCACCUGCUCUCUCCAAGAUCAAACCAGGGCAAGGGUGCAUGGGAGACCCACCCCACAUGUUCUCAAACAGGGUGGGGAGCGGAGAUGAAGUGUCCUCAAGCCAGGUUAGAAUCAGGCUAAGAAUGUCACGUAAAUGACAGUGACGGGGAGAGAGCCUUGGCAGCCUUUAGCAGGAUCUUCUGGACUUGUUUUUGUUCCCAAUGCUCCCCAUUCUAUUUUAGCAGCUGAAAGGGAAACUGAGGCAGGAGGAAGAAGCUUCCUGGAGUCUCUAAAAAACGGCUGAGUUUUAUCUCUAAAGGACUGCCUUGUCGCCCAUGGCCUGCCUGGACUCCCCCAUGAGGAAGGAGGUGCUUCCUCACACAAUUUAACUGAGGGUCAAAGGUCAGGCGGGGAAGGAUGGGGUGCUGAACAGAGACCCCCUUUCAUGAACAUUUGUACUAGAAAGUGCCAUGGAGCUGGUUCAGGCCAUGUUGGUGUGCUCCAGCUGUCUUGGAUGCCCUCAGACUGCCUUCGGGGUCCCCAUAGUCCAGAUGAGAAUCGCCGAAGGAUCCCAACUCAGAGACCAGGAGUCUGCAGCUUCCCAGCACCCCCACACAGAAUUCUGGCCCUGCCUGCCCUCGAGGACCCGCGGGAGGAGGGUGCUGGCCGCACAGCUUCCUGCUCUACAGCUUCUCUGAAGCCCUGGGGACCAGGGCAAUUAGGAAGCUGGCAGAGCUGCUUCUAAAUUGAAACUGGAAAAUAAAACUGGAAAAUAAAACUGGAAAUCACAGCCUCACGUCCCUCGGAGGCGCCAGGGUUUCUUUUCCACAGGAGAGUCCCUGAGGGAGAAAGAGGCCUGUUUACUGAGGGCAGGAGGUGUCAGUACGUAACAUGUCUUCACGUGCAGACUCUUUCCAGCCGUACUUGAGGGGGACUCCCCCACGAGGAAGGAGGAGGUGCUUGCUCACACAAUUUAACUGAGGGUCAAAGAUCAGAAAUCUUGGGCUCUCUUCUCCUCUCACCCCACCCCUACAGAUACACAUGGGCUCCAGUGUACAUACACUGGAUGGUUCCAGGAGGUCAGCGUUCCUGCAGGCAGCAGAUUUCCCUGAAGAAAUUAGAAUACAGGGGAGAAUCCAGUGAGGGGGAGCCACAAACAGACCCCACUGCUGUCUCCACCCUGCCCCUCGCCUCACCUGAAAUGUCUCCUCCUCAGGGAAGAGCAGCCCAAAUCCCCCCAAACCUACACACCCCUUGGGUUAAGACUCCCGAAACUUGACCCUCAGCUAACCCUGUAUUUGCUGUCUUUAUGGUAAUAGGCCUAACGUCUGCCUCUUCCACUGGACAUCUCUGAGGCUCAGACUUGGUCUGUGUGGCUUACACUGUGUCCCCAAGGUGUAGAAUAAUAGUACCUUGCAUGCAGCAAGUACACACUCAGCUAUGUACAGAACUGACGAUGCUCCCUCAGGACUGCCUGCCUCAGGGACCCCAGUGUCCACACCCCUUCUCAGGCCCUCCGAGCACCUUCCUCUGACGCUGGUGGUGGCAGAUACCCCAGAUCGGCUGUCCCCAGUUCCCAGCCCCAGCUCAUGGAAUACUUGGGACUGUCUCCAGUAUGUACAGGAUUAUAGGUUUAGUCGCAGGAGGUGGCCGCAGGGGUAGACCACCGGUGGCACACCCAACAUAGCCCUGUCUUUGUGCCCUAUACAGCUGGGCUUCACACAGCCCGUCCCAUAUACACAAGGACACCUGACCCCAGAAGGACCAGAAAAGAAAAGCCACUUUCUUCCUGAGGAUUAGGAGCUGAAGGCUGGGAACAUAACUGAUUUUUUUUUUAAAUAAUUUUUUUAUUACAGUGUGUGUGUGUGUGUGUGUGUGUGUGUGUGUGUGUGUGUGUGUGUGAAGCACAGCUCCCAAAAACACAAAGCAGUGCAAAAAGGUGAGGGACCUGUGGACGCCAGCCCAUCUUCCCUCUCCCCUUUGGGGUAGGACCACAGCCCCAUUUAACGUUAGGCUACAAGUUGUACCAGAGGAACAGGAUAAACUGAACGUGCCAGCCAUUUGAACUGCGGGCUUGCCCAGGCUGCAGUGAAGCAGAUGGUGAGGGCCCGCAGACCAGGCCCACUUCCUCCCUCCCUGCCUGCAUCCUCCUCAUCCCCCUCCCACCAGUAGGCUUCCCGAGACUGCAGGAAGUGGGGCUGGGGCAAGGAGCAGGCCCUUUGGGUGUCUUUGUGGUGCGGGCAGGGAGAGGGCACAGAGGCGCAGCUGCCAUGGUGGUGAUAGAAGCUCGGUCCUUGCUGGGGCUGGGCUUGAGAGCAGCCAUGUGGUAGCCUCGGCUCACUAUGGUCACGCCUGCUCACUAUGAGGCUGCAGCAGGCCGCAGGCCGCAGGCUUUUCUGUCUUGAGAUUCACAGGUCUCCAUGGCAUCCAGGGAGAGAAGGGAAGGAAAAGGGGGAGAGCCGAAUCUUUUCUCAGAGGAAAUGCAGCUGUGGUUUUGAGAUGUUCAUAUUUCACAGCUGUGGUCGGCGUUUCUCAGGGUUCUCGGAGGUAAACGCGGGGUCAGCGCCAUGUCACCAAAGAAGGUUCACAGUGACCCUAGCAACAGUCUUCACUGCCCAUUGGCUGCCACGGCCGCCGCCGUCCACCAGUGCGGCCUCCUGGAGGCAACUCAGGGGCGGGCUGGUGUUCCUCCAUGCACAGAGGUUCCUCUGUCUGCCCUGCAGAGUCCCGUAGAGAGGGGCAGUGUUCUGAACAAAGGUGGACAGGCAGGGGUGGGGCAGGACUGCCUGGCUGUGUGAGUUUCAGAGUCCACUGGAGUCCUCACACAGCACCCGACCAGCACCAUCUGUGUAGUGGCCGGGCCCCAACUUGCCAGGGCAAGCCCUCUGCCCGAGGUCCCACCACGGUCUCCACCCUAGUUUCCAUUUUGGCUCUGCUCAGUCUUCCUCUGUGCCAGGCACUCAGCUAGGCUCCUUCUACCUGUUAUAGCCGUGGAUUCUCUCAGUAAAAAUUCUCUUUUAUGCAGAAGCCGAGGCUGCAGAGAGUCAGGGACUAACCCGGAGCUAUGCCACUAAUAAGUCACACUUUAAUCUCAGUUUCGACAGGUCCAGAUCCCAGGCUGUUAGCCACUGCACUGUACUGAAGGCACCCAAGGUCUCUGGCUCAGACCCAGGGUUGUGACAUGGGGGACUGAGGUGAGGAUUGCCCAUGUGACAGAUGCCUGGGGAACCCGGUGCCAAGCAGUGGAUUGUCUGGCUGCAUACCUCAGCAAGGUGGCCUGGGCACGCCCCCAACAGGCUCCCCAAGAGUCUCGUGUGGUCCUCCAGAGAGUAUGCAGUUCAAACACUGGGGCUUGAGAACCAGACUUCGUUGUGGCUCUGGUGUUCGGUUUCCACUUCCUCUUCUGAAUUUCUUCCCACCCCACCCAACUGCACCACCAGUGUGAGGAGCAGAGAGAAGGCUGCUGUCGAGGGUGCUAGCCUGUGGGGGCCAGAGGGAACAGGACUGGCCAGGCCAAAGGGUUCAGACGGUAGAAAGUCAAAUUGUAAGAGGAGGCCAUAUGCUUCUCCUCUGCCCGGAUGACACUUCGGAGUUACAGCCCCACCUCCCUGAGGAACAUUUCCUAGAUUAAAAGUAAAGAUGAGGGGGGGCUGAGUGGGUGGCUCAGUGGUUAGGGGCACUUGCUGCUCCUGCAGAGGAGUGGAAUUCGUUCUCAGCCCCCACAGAGGGUGACUUCCUGUAACUCCAGCUCCAAGGCAUCUGGCACUCUCUUCUGGACUCUGUGGAUACAUGCACACACAUGCGUGUAUACACACACAUACACAAAUCUUUUGUUUUUGUCCUUCUUUUUUUUUUUUUAAGAAGUUGGGGCCUGGUGAGAUGGCUCACUGGGUAAAGGCACCUGCCACCAAGCCUGAUGGCAAGUUCUCUACCUGGUACCUACAUGGUAGGAGAAAAACGACCCCCACAACUUGUCCUCUGACCUCCACAUGUCUGCUGUGCCAUGUUCCCUUACCCCCUGCCAAAAAAUAAAUAAAUGCAAAGCAAAAAAUUUAA